rfam:Picea glauca, whole genome shotgun sequence.
GAAAUGGUGUCUUUAGACACCACCAAUAUUUUGUGAAGUUUAUUU